rnacentral:rRNA from 4 species
AAACAACUCUCAGCAACGGAUAUCUUGGCUCUUGCAACGAUGAAGAACGCAGCGAAAUGCGAUACGUAGUGUGAAUUGCAGAAUUCCGCGAAUCAUCGAGUCUUUGAACGCAAGUUGCGCCCGAGGCUUGUCCGAGGGCAUCUCUGCCAGAGCGUCACC